CUAGAAAAAGGACCUUUUGCUACUAUAUAAUUUGCGACCACUUGAUCAGCCGUCGCAAAUAACCAAUUUAUUCCUCUUUUACCCGUUUUCCUUCCUUAUAUUUGCCCUAGUUUUAGAAAAAUUAAAACACGGAUUGUUCUCUCUCUCUCUCGCGUUACAGACAUGCAUAGCUCUGCUCUCUCGCUCUUCCGCUCGCCAUUGUCGUCUGAAGAUCUCCAUCGGUGAUUUCAUUGCAAAUUAGGUGAUUUCAUCGGUGUCUUGUGAGAAUAGAA